rnacentral:rRNA from 1 species
UACGUAGGGUGCAAGCGUUAAUCGGAAUUACUGGGCGUAAAGCGUGCGCAGGCGGUUGUGUAAGUCAGAUGUGAAAUCCCCGGGCUCAACCUGGGAAUUGCAUUUGAGACUGCACGGCUAGAGUGUGUCAGAGGGGGGUAGAAUUCCACGUGUAGCAGUGAAAUGCGUAGAGAUGUGGAGGAAUACCGAUGGCGAAGGCAGCCCCCUGGGCCUGCACUGACGCUCAUGCACGAAAGCGUGGGGAGCAAACAGG